rnacentral:rRNA from 1 species
GUGAGGAAUUUUCCGCAAUGGGCGAAAGCCUGACGGAGCAAUGCCGCGUGAAGGAUGAAGGCCUAUGGGUUGUAAACUUCUUUUCUCAGAAAAGAAUUAUGACGGUAUCUGAGGAAUAAGCAUCGGCUAACUCUGUGCCAGCAGCCGCGGUAAGACAGAGGAUGCAAGCGUUAUCCGGAAUGAUUGGGCGUAAAGCGUCUGUAGGUUGUUUAAAAAGUAUUCUGUCAAAGAUUAGGGCUUAACCCUAGAUAGGCAGAAUAAACUUUUAAGCUAGAGUUUGGUAGAGGCAGAGGGAAUUCCCAGUGGAGCGGUGAAAUGCGUAGAUAUCGGGAGGAACACCAAAGGCGAAGGCACUCUGCUGGGCCAAUACUAACACUGAGAGACGAAAGCGAGGGGAGCAAAUGGGAUUAGAUACCCCAGUAGUCC